rfam:Ixodes scapularis strain Wikel colony gcontig_1108378723936, whole genome shotgun sequence.
UCCUGGUUAGCUCAGUUGGUAGAGCGCUCCACUGGAAAUGAAAGGGUCCUUGGUUCGAUACCAGAACCAGGUG